AGAGUUUGAUCAUGGCUCAGAUUGAACGCUGGCGGCAGGCCUAACACAUGCAAGUCGAACGGUAACAGGAAGCAGCUUGCUGCUUUGCUGACGAGUGGCGGACGGGUGAGUAAUGUCUGGGAAACUGCCUGAUGGAGGGGGAUAACUACUGGAAACGGUAGCUAAUACCGCAUAACGUCGCAAGACCAAAGAGGGGGACCUUAGGGCCUCUUGCCAUCGGAUGUGCCCAGAUGGGAUUAGCUAGUAGGUGGGGUAAAGGCUCACCUAGGCGACGAUCCCUAGCUGGUCUGAGAGGAUGACCAGCCACACUGGAACUGAGACACGGUCCAGACUCCUACGGGAGGCAGCAGUGGGGAAUAUUGCACAAUGGGCGCAAGCCUGAUGCAGCCAUGCCGCGUGUAUGAAGAAGGCCUUCGGGUUGUAAAGUACUUUCAGCGGGGAGGAAGGGAGUAAAGUUAAUACCUUUGCUCAUUGACGUUACCCGCAGAAGAAGCACCGGCUAACUCCGUGCCAGCGGCCGCGGUAAUACGGAGGGUGCAAGCGUUAAUCGGAAUUACUGGGCGUAAAGCGCACGCAGGCGGUUUGUUAAGUCAGAUGUGAAAUCCCCGGGCUCAACCUGGGAACUGCAUCUGAUACUGGCAAGCUUGAGUCUCGUAGAGGGGGGUAGAAUUCCAGGUGUAGCGGUGAAAUGCGUAGAGAUCUGGAGGAAUACCGGUGGCGAAGGCGGCCCCCUGGACGAAGACUGACGCUCAUGUGCGAAAGCGUGGGGAGCAAACAGGAUUAGAUACCCUGGUAGUCCA
rnacentral:rRNA from 1 species